rnacentral:misc_RNA from 1 species
CCGAGUGAGGGCGCCCCGGCGCCCGACCUCCCAACCCUUUGUCGAACUUACCUUGUUGCCUCGGGGCGCGCCCUUCGCGGGCGGCCCCAGAGGACCAACCAUCAAAACCCUGCGUCCCUGCGUCGGAGUACCUUUGAUAAAUCAAUCA